GAUGAACGCUGGCGGCGUGCUUAACACAUGCAAGUCGAACGGAAAGGCCUCUUUCGGGGGGUACUCGUGUGGCGAACGGGCGAGUAACACGUGAGUAACUUGCCCUUGUCUUUGGGUUAACUUCAGGCAACUGGGGCUAAUACCGGCUAGGAGCUCCUGUUGCCCGGAGGGGGCUGGAAAGUUUCGGCGGCUUGGUGUGGCCUCGCGGUGUAUCCGCUUUUUGGUGGGGAGAUGGUUUGCCAAGGCCUUGCCGGGUAGCCGGUCAGUGGCGGUGAUCGGCGGCAUUGAGACUGAGGUACGGCACAGAUACCUACGGGAGGCAGCAGUGGGGAAUCUUGCACAAUGGGUGGAGGCCUGGUGCUGCAAGGCCGUGUGCGGGAUGACGCCCUUCGGGGUGUAGACCGCUUUCGCACAUGACGAAGCAUUGUGUGACGGUAGUGAGUAAAGAAGCACCGGCUAACUACGUG
rnacentral:rRNA from 1 species